GCGCGCUCAGAAGUGUCUCAAACUCUACAUCAACGCGUGCCCUGGGCGCAGCGGCGCGCCUAGCUUUUCGCAGCUGUCGUCCCUGGGUGGGUUGUUAAUGGGCUCGUAUCUGGCGCCCGAGGUUUCUGGGAAAUUCUUCUCGGCAGAAAAGCGCUAUUCACAGCGCGAAAAGAGAGAAACCUGGUGGGGUAGGUGAAAACCGAGGAGCGGCGAGAGUUGCAGUUAUCUAGAGACGCGGGCAUCCUCACCUGCGGUGCCAGGUGGGGUCUUUCUUCCUGGGCUUUCCGAAUAUGCCCUCCUUGCUUUGCACAAUGUCCUUCGCCCUGCUUUCCUGGUCCGAGUCAAUCUCCUAGCCAUUUGUCCACCCAAAACUUCGGCCAGGAAAAUCCGAAGUGAUACCGUCCUGGUAACAUGUGAUGUGUAUAGGGCACGCACAUUUUCAGUCUCUCCCCUCAGGAGCCAGCCCAGGUCUCCUCACCUCCCUCCAGAAAUUCACCCUCUUCCGCUCAAAACUAAAUCAGCUAAUGGUACAGCUUCUACCCCCGCAAACCGCCAUGGUUCCACUUACUGGGAAAUUUUAUGCUUUGAUAUCCACCAAAGCUCACUAAAGCUGGGUGCUGCUUCAGGUCUCCCAGGUUACAAUCUUGCAUCAUACAAAAUGAGUUAGAAAACUUGCCGCCAGUUAAUUAGUAUGAGCGACGGCUGGUCUUUAAUACUGCCACUUGCUUGAGGGGUGACACUGUCUGCUGGGGGCAGAGUCGUUUACACAAAGCAAGCAAGCAAGCCGCACUUAAUGAGCUACAGGAACAGUCAAGUCCUGCCUGGGACGUGUGGCAUCGGAAGAUCCGCGCGCACCUAUACUGCCCAGGACCCUCAAGAUGCCACCAGCAGUGUAACCCCGUUAUUUUCAUUGUCUCAGGUGUCCUGAGGAUGGCUACUAGGUCUUUGAAGUUGUUAAUGGGAUUAAUGAGGACAGCAAACCAAGCCAGCCAUCUGGUUUGGAUUAGGAAAAAGUAUUGAUGAAUCUUUGAGAAGUGUCCCCAAGGCAGAACCUUUCCCUCCACCGGUCCCUCAGGUUUCAGCCUACCUCUCUUGUCUUUUAAGCCCUACUGCAGAAUAGUGGCCUCUCAAUAAACCUUUACAUCCGUGUGAAAGUUCGAAUUGUUUUCCAUUGCUUAGAGGUGGGAUGUGGUGGGGGUGAUCAGGAAUUCUGAGAUUUGUAAGCGCUGCUUUCUUUAACGGAAAUUGAGCCCUAUUUUGAGGGAAAUUAGUUUUGCAGACUUCGUUAAAAAAAAAAAAAAAAGCUAAAACUUUUGUUCACCAGCUGCUCAGCUUUUCAGUCUGGGUUUGAGCUGGAACCUGCUGCAAGCGUUUGACGGCAUUCACACGCUUUUGAAACUUUCUAUGAACGGACUUGGAUCUAAUGUCCCUGAAAACAAAGAAAGAACAGUGCAAUUUGAACACAGUAGCCUCUGCCCCAUGCCUGAGGGAGACAGCACAGCUUUGGGAACUAUGAUUGAGUGACAGCCCUACCUAUGAAGUUGGGAAUGUGACUAGUCAAUAAUGCCUGUGAGGACCAACUGGAAGAGAAGAAAUCAUUUAUUCUUUACCAUCAAUAUGUGACUGUGUCUUGAAAUGAAUAUCCUGGAAUCUAAUUCAGACUUGAUUUUGGAAACCCCUGCCCCUCCCCCCCCCUCCUCUCCUCUGGAGCCUUAGGCAUGUGGUCAAAGAAUAUGAGUAAGGAACAGGGAACCAAGUCCCCUAAUUUAUCUUUAAUUUCUGUUAUUUUCUUACUGAACUCCCCUUCUCCUAUAUUAACUCUCCCUUCCAUGGAACAGGUGAUGUGAAAUAGGUCCUACAUCCAUGUUAAAAGUUAAAAAGAUAAUGUUAGUAUUUUAAACAAAAUAAAAGAACAGCAAUAGAAGAGAUAAUAGCAUUUCACUUCACGACAGAAGAGAUAAUAACACUUUAGUGCUUUAGGCCUGCCUAAUUAGUGGUGCUUCUCCUGAGACAUUAAUUUUGGUGUCAGUGGAGGUUAAGGGAAAGGAGGUUGCAGCUAAAGUGCCAGUGAUAUUCUGAGGGUUCUGGACACUGAAACCUCAAGUUUAUAUACACCGAGGGCUGGUGGCCAAUUUCACCAACGUGUAAACUGAUAAACAGAGAGAUCUGAUUGCAAAUAAAAUGCAUUGCGUAUUUGGCUUAAUGACCAUACCCUAGAAUGAGCGACUAAGAAUAGAAUCCCGGUCGCCGCAGCCCAAGACCGACGCGGACCCAUCUAGCAGGAAACAGCGGCGCGCAGGCCUCUCCUCCGCGACCGCGUGCGGACUGCUUGUCCCGGCCAACUACCACAACUGCACGAAUCGACACGGCCCAGAGACGUACCUGCGCACAAAAGUUCUCAUGAUCCGCCGUGCCACGGGAUCUGCGCACCUUCGCCCACAUCUUGGCGUUUGUUGAGUGCUCCUACAGGCCCUUCCCCGGCCAUAGGCGUGGUCCCCAGACACCUCAGGGAUCACUUCCGCCUGGCGCACUGCCUUCUGGGGGAAGCCGCAGGCCGGAAGUCUGACUACGAGGCCCACACUCGCCUGCAGGUCCUCUUGCCCCCUCCGACACCUUCAGCCAAUUGCUGAAGUUGCAACCCCUGGGCCUGGCCGAUAGCAGCCCCAGUCCUGCCAACCCGUCUCCCGCCACUCCUCGGCCCACAGCAUCUUCCCAGAGCCCCAAGCUGUUGCUGUCCUCGCUGACGCCCUCUUUCCACUCGGACAAAGGCAUGUAGAGCCCCCACCCCACCCCACCCCCCGGCCAAGGGAACCACAGGUACUGCCAUCUGUGCAACAUCGAGUUCAUCAAGUUCACAGGUACUUCUGUGUGUUCACCUUCAUCGUCCCCAAGAAGUGUUGCUGUUCCUCGAAGGCCAGUGAAUAUGUGAAGUGAGUCACCCAACACAGAAUGGACUGGGGGCCACUUUCCAUGCACCCCCCCCCCAACUUCUCUAUCCAGGAACAAAGGCCAGCUUUCCCACCUGCCGUGCUCUCCAUCGCCACCCCCGCCUGGACCCUUGGCACUUAAAGUUCAGUUUGAUGAGCACAGCCUCAAUAGCCUGGAGUUGAAGGAGCACCUAAAUUCCAUUAGAAUUACUUCGGAGAGUCUCCUCUGUUUAUCUGAAACAUUCAUCGUAUUUAUUUAUUUUUUAUUUUUGGAGAGAGAGUGUGUGAGUCUGGGAGAGGGAAAGCGAGACGGAAUCUUAAGCAGGCUCCAUGCUUAGCCCAGAGCCCAGAGAUCAUAACCUGAGCUGCAAUGGGUUCAUUAAAAUAAAAUUUUCCUUAAGUAAUAAGAAUAAUAAAGAGUUCCAGAAUGUAGAUAUCUAUGCACUUUGAUAUUCUUUUGGUAAAAAAGAAAUGUACCCUUGGAUGGGAAAGUUUCCAAGGAAGGCUUUUCACCAAAAAGAUCAGACUGUGGAAAGAACCACAGACUUGUGUGAGGUAGGAAGAGCAAGAAGAAAAGAGAAGGAAAGCAUUUUAAACGUUACUGAUACUUCAUAGCAAUAAGUUGUUUUUAUAUAGUGUAUAUCAGAAUAUUCUUUACAGUAACAAAAAUAUUUUGUGUACUUUUAAAAGGCUUCAUGCAUACACUGGUAAAAAAAACAAAAGAGGAAAAAAAUGCUGUCGUUUUGAGGAAUUAUGAUGAUGAUUGUUAAUAUUUAUGUGCCAAAGCAAUAACAACAAAUGUUAUAUGGAAGAUAACAUUGAAUUGUAAAAAUUUCAUGAAAUAUUAUUGUGCUUUUCAUAUGGACAAGUAAACCUAGGCUUAAAUGAUUAAAUCACAUGUCUAAAGUCCUGUAGCUGAAAUGUGAUACAUGCAAAAUGCAAAACCAAAUUAGUCUUUAGAGUCUGUGAUCUUAACCACUCUGUUUUGUGAUACUUAGAGCAAAACUUUUCCUAAUUUCUGGAGUUAAAGAAGUGGAAAAUUAUCCAGACUAGUGGCAAUGCAAACCAUCUGAGAAGGGAGAGUCAGGGACAGGGAGUGUGGCUUUCUGAGAGACAGCAUUUCAUCACAGCUGGUAUUCUUGCGAACCCUAGUAGAGACUCUGUGAAAAAGAUUUAACAUGAAAAAGAUUUUGUUGAUACUUCUGUGGAGGGUUGAUUAGAAAAAGAAAGAUAAGUCAGAACACUAUUUUAAUAAUUAAAAUGACAUAAAGACAUGUGGACUUCA